rnacentral:rRNA from 1 species
AAAGGUAAGCUACUAAGAGCGAAUGGUGGAUGCCUUGACUGGUAAAGGCGAUGAAGGACGUACUAGACUGCGAUAAGCUACGGGGAGCUGUCAAGAAGCUUUGAUCCGUAGAUUUCCGAAUGGGGCAACCCAAUGUAUAGAGAUAUACAUUACCUAUAUAGGAGCGAACGAGGGGAAUUGAAACAUCUUAGUACCCUCAGGAAAAGAAAUCAAUAGAGAUUGCGUCAGUAGCGGCGAGCGAAAGCGCAAGAGGGCAAACCCAGUGCUUGCACUGGGGGUUGUAGGACUGCAAUGUGCAAGAGGUAAGUUUAGCAGAACAUUCUGGAAAGUAUAACCAUAGAGGGUGAUAGUCCCGUAUGCGAAAAACAAACCUUAGCUAGCAGUAUCCUGAGUAGGGCGGGACACGAGGAAUCCUGUCUGAAUCCGGGUCGACCACGAUCCAACCCUAAAUACUAAUACCAGAUCGAUAGUGCACAAGUACCGUGAGGGAAAGGUGAAAAGAACUGAGGUGAUCAGAGUGAAAUAGAACCUGAAACCAUUUGCUUACAAUCAUUCAGAGCCCUAUGUAGCAAUACAGGGUGAUGGACUGCCUUUUGCAUAAUGAGCCUGCGAGUUGUGGUGUCUGGCAAGGUUAAGCAAACGCGAAGCCGUAGCGAAAGCGAGUCUGAAUAGGGCGCUUAGUCAGAUGCUGCAGACCCGAAACGAAGUGAUCUAUCCAUGAGCAAGUUGAAGCUAGUGUAAGAACUAGUGGAGGACUGAACCCAUAGGCGUUGAAAAGCCCCGGGAUGACUUGUGGAUAGG